rnacentral:sRNA from 1 species
GCUGGGCCUGGUGGCGCAUGUCUGUAAUCCCAAUAACUAAGGAGGCUGAAAUAUGAGGAUCACAAGUUAGGGACCAGCCUCAGCAAUUUAGUGAGGCUCUGAGAAACUUAGUGAGACCCUGUCUCAA